rnacentral:lncRNA from 1 species
GACCAAAUUGUAUUUGACUGUGCCUUGAACUUAUGCCUGUAGUGCUUUUGAGUCAUCUAUGCAGCACAUAGCUAGAAGUUUGCUUGCUUUGUUUUGUAACUUUUGAACCUUUUUAAGUUGCCAAACUCGUUCUGCUUCGUUUGUUAUUAUUCGAUGUCUGACUGUUUUCGUAUGUGUGUGUGUGUGUAUUCAUGAGUCGCCACUGAAGCUGACUCAUUCAUGCCAUUUUACAGGUGAAUAAAAGAGUUUCGAAGAUAUGAAGAAGUGUAAGGUAUUGUUGGAGCAACUUAUGUUGUGGAGAAUGGUUUUGAAGAGGCAUAAAGUGCUCUCAAAUCCUUAAAAUUUAACCCAGAAAAAUGGCAGCUCGGAGAGGGCCAUUGGAAACAUAGAAAGGGAUAAAAAGAGGUACUUCUAGUGGGAGGAAAGCAAACGAAACUACUUCUGCUAAAUGUAUCUACAAAAGUCGAGAAUUGGAGCUUUUGUCAUCUUGUUGUGUGUGUGUGUGUGUGUGUGUGUGUCUGUACAUAAUUGAAUGUACUUUAGGACAAAAGGAGGGAGGGUAGAAAAGGCUGCAAGGAAUACCGCAAGGCAAAGCAAUGUAAGGGGGGGACAGUGAUGGGCUCAGAUUAAAGAAUCUAGCCAAAAUCAAACCCCCUUCCUUCCCUCGUAUUCAAAUUUUGAUGUUUUAUUUAUUCAUUUCUGGGCAAAUUCUUAGUUUAUAUAAUAAAUUGCGGAUCCAAUCUCUUCCUAAUAGUAUUCUAUUUUUUCUCUUCCAUUACUGUGGUGUCCGUGUGUGAUGA